GUGGGGAAUAUUGGACAAUGGGCGAAAGCCUGAUCCAGCCAUGCCGCGUGUGUGAAGAAGGUCUUCGGAUUGUAAAGCACUUUAAGUUGGGAGGAAGGGCAGUAAGUUAAUACCUUGCUGUUUUGACGUUACCGACAGAAUAAGCACCGGCUAACUUCGUGCCAGCAGCCGCGGUAAUACGAAGGGUGCAAGCGUUAAUCGGAAUUACUGGGCGUAAAGCGCGCGUAGGUGGUUUUGUAAGUUGGAGGUGAAAUCCCCGGGCUCAACCUGGGAACUGCCUCCAAAACUGCAUGACUAGAGUACGGUAGAGGGUAGUGGAAUUUCCUGUGUAGCGGUGAAAUGCGUAGAUAUAGGAAGGAACACCAGUGGCGAAGGCGACUACCUGGACUGAUACUGACACUGAGGUGCGAAAGCGUGGGGAGCAAACAGGAUUAGAUACCCGGGUAGUCC
rnacentral:rRNA from 1 species